AUUGAACGCUGGCGGCAUGCUUUACACAUGCAAGUCGAACGGUAACAGGGUGCUUGCACCGCUGACGAGUGGCGAACGGGUGAGUAAUGCGUCGGAACGUGCCGAGUAGUGGGGGAUAACGCAGCGAAAGUUGUGCUAAUACCGCAUACGUACUGAGGUAGAAAGUGGGGGACCUUCGGGCCUCACGCUAUUCGAGCGGCCGACGUCUGAUUAGCUAGUAGGUGAGGUAAAGGCUCACCUAGGCGACGAUCAGUAGCGGGUCUGAGAGGAGGAGCCGCCAGACUGGGACUGAGACACGGCCCAGACUCCUACGGGAGGCAGCAGUGGGGAAUUUUGGACAAUGGUCGAAAGCCUGAUCCAGCCAUGCCGCGUGUCUGAAGAAGGCCUUCGGGUUGUAAAGGACUUUUGUCGGGGAGGAAAUCCCUAGUGCUAAUAACACUGGGGGAUGACAGUACCUGAAGAAUAAGCACCGGCUAACUACGUGCCAGCCGCCGCGGUAA
rnacentral:rRNA from 1 species